rnacentral:rRNA from 1 species
AUUGAACGCUGGCGGCAUGCCUUACACAUGCAAGUCGAACGGUAACAGGUCUUCGGAUGCUGACGAGUGGCGAACGGGUGAGUAAUACAUCGGAACGUGCCUAGUAGUGGGGGAUAACUACUCGAAAGAGUGGCUAAUACCGCAUGAGAUCUACGGAUGAAAGCAGGGGAUCGCAAGACCUUGUGCUACUAGAGCGGCCGAUGGCAGAUUAGGUAGUUGGUGGGAUAAAAGCUUACCAAGCCGACGAUCUGUAGCUGGUCUGAGAGGACGAUCAACCACACUGGGACUGAGACACGGCCCAGACUCCUACGGGAGGCAGCAGUGGGGAAUUUUGGACAAUGGGCGCAAGCCUGAUCCAGCAAUGCCGCGUGCAGGAUGAAGGCCUUCGGGUUGUAAACUGCUUUUGUACGGAACGAAAAGCCCUGGGUUAAUACCCUGGGGUCAUGACGGUACCGUAAGAAUAAGCACCGGCUAACUACGUGCCAGCAGCCGCAGUAA